ACACAUGCAAGUCGAACGAAGCACUUUAUUUGAUUUCCUUCGGGACUGAUUAUUUUGUGACUGAGUGGCGGACGGGUGAGUAACGCGUGGGUAACCUGCCUUGUACAGGGGGAUAACAGUUGGAAACGGCUGCUAAUACCGCAUAAGCGCACAGCAUCGCAUGAUGCAGUGUGAAAAACUCCGGUGGUAUAAGAUGGACCCGCGUUGGAUUAGCUAGUUGGUGAGGUAACGGCCCACCAAGGCGACGAUCCAUAGCCGACCUGAGAGGGUGACCGGCCACAUUGGGACUGAGACACGGCCCAAACUCCUACGGGAGGCAGCAGUGGGGAAUAUUGCACAAUGGGCGAAAGCCUGAUGCAGCGACGCCGCGUGAGCGAAGAAGUAUUUCGGUAUGUAAAGCUCUAUCAGCAGGGAAGAUAAUGACGGUACCUGACUAAGAAGCACCGGCUAAAUACGUGCCAGCAGCCGCGGUAAUACGUAUGGUGCAAGCGUUAUCCGGAUUUACUGGGUGUAAAGGGAGCGCAGGCGGUGCGGCAAGUCUGAUGUGAAAGCCCGGGGCUCAACCCCGGUACUGCAUUGGAAACUGUCGUACUAGAGUGUCGGAGGGGUAAGCGGAAUUCCUAGUGUAGCGGUGAAAUGCGUAGAUAUUAGGAGGAACACCAGUGGCGAAGGCGGCUUACUGGACGAUAACUGACGCUGAGGCUCGAAAGCGUGGGGAGCAAACAGGAUUAGAUACCCUGGUAGUCCACGCCGUA
rnacentral:rRNA from 1 species